GGUUCUAUGGUGUAAUGGUUAGCACUCUGGACUUUGAAUCCAGUGUUUCGAGUUCAAGUCUUGGUAGAACCU